rnacentral:misc_RNA from 1 species
ACCAAAUUUUCAUCCUCAUUCACUUCCAGAAUAUCAUGAUGGUUUGAAGAGUGUUCUUCACUGCAAUUCUCCUGGCAGCAUGGCUGCAAACAUAAGUCUGAAGCCCCCUGAAAGAAUCGACAACAGGCAGUCACACAGAAUUGGUACAAAUAGACACUUGAUUGAAUUCAACGAUAGGGUUUUUGGAUCCACUAUUAAUGGAAGCCCCUCUCUUCCUGGACAUCAUUAUGCGUGGGGUAACUCCUAUCACCCGCAUUCUCCAGGCAUGAUAUGGCCAAGCCCACCAUCCUUUGUCAAUGGAAUUUCAAUGGCUCAUCCCACAGUCCGGCUGCAUGGACCUCCUAGAGCACCACCUCCUGUUCUUAACUCUGUUUUACCUAUAAAUAACCACCAUGUGGGAUCAGCACCAACUGUUAAUCCAUCUUUCUGGGAGCGACCUGCUUAUGCAGGGGAAUCUCCUGAGACUUCUGGUUUUCAUCCAGGUUCCCUUGGGAGCUUGAGAAUUUCUAAUAACUCACUGCACUCUAUGGAACUUUUGUCUCCUACCAUGUUCCCUCGUGUUGCUGGACACUAUGUGGACUUGCCAAUACCCCCUAAAAGUGUAGGAUUCCAACCGCACCAUCAAAGAUCCCCAAUUUUUCCUAGCAGGAGCCAAAUGAUUCCUAUGACCAAUUCAUAUUUGCCUCCCCAAGCGAAGGGGGGGGGAGCCGUAAAAAUGAAGGCAGCAAUAACCAGGCUGACAAGAAACAGUAUGAACUUGAUAUAGAUCGCAUACUGCAAGGGGAAGACCACCGAACGACACUUAUGAUAAAGAAUAUUCCUAACAAGUA